CUCCUCCAGUGCCCUCCUCUUCAGAGUUGCUGCUCCUCACAGCACCCCCUCCUCCUCCUCUGAGUGGAUCCUGCCCAGAGCUCUUCUUCCUCAGAGCUCCUCCUCCGGUUCCUGCUGGGCUCCCGACACCUCUUGCCUCUCCUGGCUGGGCUUCAGAACACACCGGUAAAGGCGGAGCUUGCAAGUCUGCCCCUCUGCUGCAGGAGAGGUGGCUGGAGUGAGGACCAAGAGGUGUUUCCCGAGAAACCCAGAGAGCAGCAGGACAGCCAUGAGGCUGCUGACGGGGACUGAGCUGUGGUCCGUGGCCAUAUUCAUGGUCAUCUUCCUGCUUCUGGUGGACCUAAUGCACCGGCGCCAGCGCUGGACUGCCCGCUACCCACCAGGCCCUGUGCCCCUGCCUGUGCUCGGGAACCUGAUGCAGGUGGACUUCCAGAAUAUGCCAGCGGGCUUCCAAAAACUGCGAUGCCGCUUUGGGGACCUGUUCAGCCUCCAGCUGGCCUUUGAGUCGGUGGUUGUGCUGAACGGGCUGACAGCCCUGCGUGAGGCGCUGGUGAGAUACAGCGAGGACACCGCUGACCGGCCGCCGCUGCAUACCAAUGACCACUUGGGCUUUGGGCCGCGCUCUCAAGGUGUGGUCCUAGCGCAGUACGGGUCUGCCUGGCGUCAGCAGCGGCGCUUCUCCGUGUCCACCUUCCGUCACUUUGGCCUGGGCAAGAAGUCACUGGAGCAGUGGGUGACUGAGGAGGCCAGAUGCCUCUGUGCUGCCUUCACUGACUAUUCCGGACGCCCUUUCAGCCCCAACGCUCUCCUGGACAAAGCAGUGUGUAACGUGAUCGCUUCCCUCCUCUACGCCUGCCGCUUUGAGUACGAUGACCCGCGCUUCAUCAGGCUACUGGACCUCCUGAAAGAGACUCUUAAGGAGGAAGCUGGCUUCCUGCCCAUGUUCCUGAAUGUGUUCCCGGUACUCCUGCACAUCCCAGGGCUGCCUGGCAAGGUCUUCUCUGGGAAAAAGGCCUUCAUGGCCAUUCUGGAUGAGCUGCUAACUGAGCACAAGACAACCCGGGACCCUGCCCAGCCACCCCGAGACCUGACUGAUGCCUUCCUGGCAGAGGUGGAGAAGGCCAAGGGGAACCCUGAGAGCAGCUUCAAUGAUGAGAACCUGCGUAUAGUGGUGGCUGACUUGUUCAUGGCGGGGAUGGUGACCUCUUCGACCACACUGGCCUGGGCCCUGCUGCUCAUGAUCCUGCACCCGGAUGUGCAGCACCGCGUCCACCAGGAGAUCGAUGAAGUCAUAGGGCAGGCACGGUGUCCAGAGAUGGCAGACCAGGCCCGCAUGCCCUACACCAAUGCUGUCAUUCAUGAGGUGCAGCGAUUUGGGGACAUCCUUCCACUUGGUGUGCCUCACAAGACAUCUCGUGACAUUGAAAUUCAGGGCUUCCUCAUCCCGAAGGGAACAACCCUCAUCACCAACCUGUCCUCCGUGCUGAAGGAUGAGACUGUCUGGGAGAAGCCCCUCCAGUUCCACCCUGAACACUUCCUGGAUGCCCAGGGCCGCUUUGUGAAGCAUGAGGCCUUCAUGCCAUUCUCAGCAGGCCGCAGAGCAUGCCUGGGGGAGCCUCUGGCCCGCAUGGAGCUCUUCCUCUUCUUCACCUGCCUCCUGCAGCGCUUUAGCUUCUCGGUGCCUGAUGGACAGCCCCGGCCCAGCGACCGUGGGGUCUUUGGUGCUCUGACAACCCCAUCGCCCUACCAGCUCUGUGUUUUACCCCGCUAAGAGGGGAUGCCAACAUCUGGAAGGAGGGCCAGAAAGGACUGCUGGUAGGUGACAGUGUCUGCUGACUGGAGAAACAUCUAAAACGGAAGGGGAAUGAUGCUGCCCACGGCUACCCCAGUCCUCCUUCCAUGGCCCACAACUUCCCGAAGGCUCCCAGGCAAUGCUGGCAGUAAUGGCGGCCAUGAGGCCCACCUAAAUCUAGGUUCCUGACCUCCCCAUGAACAACAAGCUGUCCCCAUUCCCCUCUUUGUGGGGGCAAGUACCACGGGCUCCCCUGUAAUUGAAACUUCAGCCCUAGUUAUGAGGAAUGAAAACUUUUUAAAAACACAGUACUCAAGUAAACAUAGACUUGGGCCACCUAAAAAUUCUGCUUCCAGUGUGGAAACCCAGUUAGAGUCUUUAGCUGAGGUUGUUCUUCAGAAUGAAGAGGAACCGGACCUCCUCUUUAUGAGACAAGGAGGGUUCUAUAUAACACUAAAAAAUAAAUAAAUAAAACAAAAAACUUGUUACUUCUCUGCCAGCCAAUCAGAGAUAAAAAGAUUCAGCCACUGUCAAAAAUAACCUUUAAAAAAAGAAACACAAGAAGAGAGACAUCAACUGGUACCAGUAUUUGUUCUCGACCCCUGGCUAACUACUACACUUAAGGUCAUGGCUGGUCAUUAAUCCUUUUGCUCCUAGCUCUCACUAUAAGAUCCUGAUUCUUCAACUGCCUACUUAGAAAACAAAUUCUGUUAAACUAUUAAUGCUAAUGAGACAAUAUAACCCCGAUCUCCCAGAUGAGUCCACGAUUUGACUCAUGCCUGUAGAACCAAUGGGGAAUGUAACAGGCUCCUAGGCCUUAGCACAACUGACACCAUGAUGGAAGUGCCAUUCAGGAACCCAGCAUGCAGACAGCAAUCCCUGCCACAAAGACCAUCCACAGUAGGAAACAGCUAUAACACCUUGCCCUGCAUUUUUUAUAUCCCCUCAGAGUUUGGAAUGAAAGUUUCCUGCUGAAAGACUACACUUCCCAGCUCCCUUUGCAGACUACGGAAGUCAUUUCCACCCCCAUAAGAGACCAAAUCCCAUCUUCUGUAGACAUUUUGGCCAUCCACACAUGUGGGUGACAAGAUGCCCCCUCCCUGUGAAUAAACACAGUCCCACCUAAGGUCAGACCAAGCUCGCCUGCCCGCCUUCCUUCCUUCCUUCCUUCCUUCCUUCCUUCCUUCCUUCCUUCCUUCCUUCCGCCCUUCUCUCUCCCUCCAGCUGUUUUUAAAUAAUCUAACACUUGGGAAGACAGGGAUGAGCCCCGAUACCUACAGGCCUGCCAUAGGAAGAGAAGUCAAGCUUGGGGCCCAUAGUCAAUGAGAUGGGCAGAGAACAAGGUGGUGGCGUGGGCAUCGGAGAAAAAGAAACCGUUGGAACCUCACUGUGUGCCGUGGUAUUACUGGCCUCGUCUUUGACUUUUCCCUCUUCUACUCAGAGGAAGCUACACCAGAUUGCCUCCCUGCUCUGACUCCUGGGCUCUGACCCUUGCCAGUGUACCAUCUCCCACUAUGGGGGAUGGUGUCAACUUGACAGGCUCUAGAAUCACCCAGGAGACAAAUCACGGGGCGUGUCUGAGGAGUUUCUAGAUUAACUGAGGUGGGAGGGACCACCCUCAAUGUGGUCCUCCCACGGGCUUGGGUGCAGGGCUGAAUCAAAAGGAGAAAGGAAGUAGACAACCAACAAUCCACCUCUUUCUGCUUCCUGAUGAUAGACGCAAUGUGAGCCACCACUUCAUGCUUCUGCUGCUGUGCCUUUCCCCACCACGUUGAACUACACCCUCAAACCGAGAGGCAAAUAAACCCUUCCUUCCUGCA